UACAGGGGGUGCAAACGUUGCUCGGAAUCAUUGGGCGUAAAGCGCACGUAGGCGGUUUGUUAUGUCGGAUGUGAAAGCCCUUGGCUCAACUGAGGAAGUGCAUCCGAAACUGGCAAGCUAGAGUACUAAAGAGGAUCGCGGAAUUCCCGGUGUAGAGGUGAAAUUCGUAGAUAUCGAGAGGAACACCUGCGGCGAAGGCGGGUUGCUGGGCUGACACUGACGCUGAUGCGCGAAAGCUAGGGGAGCGAACGGG
rnacentral:rRNA from 1 species